rnacentral:rRNA from 1 species
CGGCGAGUGAAGCGGCAAUAGCUCAAAUUUGAAAUCUGGCCCUUUCAGGGUCCGAGUUGUAAUUUGCAGAGGGCGCUUUGGCGUCGGCAGCAGCCUAAGUUCCUUGGAACAGGUCAUCAUAGAGGGUGAGAAUCCCGUAUGUGGCUGCUUGUCUUCGCCGUGUAAAGCCCCUUCGAUGAGUCGAGUUGUUUGGGAAUGCAGCUCUAAAUGGGAGGUAAAUUUCUUCUAAAGCUAAAUAUUGGCCAGAGACCGAUAGCGCACAAGUAGAGUGAUCGAAAGAUGAAAAGCACUUUGGAAAGAGAGUCAAAAAGCACGUGAAAUUGUUGAAAGGGAAGCGCUUGCAGCCAGACGUGCCCGCAGUUGCUCAUCCGGGGUUCUCCCCGGUGCACUCUUCUGUGGGCAGGCCAGCAUCAGUCCGGGCGGUCGGAGAAAGACCUGUGUCAUGUAGCUCUCUUCGGGGAGUGUUAUAGGGCAGGUGGAAUGCGACCAGCCUGGACUGAGGUCCGCGCAUCUGCUAGGAUGCUGGCGUAAUGGCUGUAAGCGGCCCGUCUUGAAACACGGACCAAGGAGUCUAACAUCUAUGCGAGUGUUUGGGUGUCAAGCCCGAGCGCGUAAUGAAAGUGAACGGAGGUGGGAACCCCUCGGGGUGCACCAUCGACCGAUCCUGAUGUCUUCGGAUGGAUUUGAGUAAGAGCAUAGCUGUUGGGACCCGAAAGAUGGUGAACUAUGCCUGAAUAGGGUGAAGCCAGAGGAAACUCUGGUGGAGGCUCGCAGCGGUUCUGACGUGCAAAUCGAUCGUCAAAUUUGGGCA